AUGCUUCUUUUUUUGUCCAAGUCAAACGGCCUCAAGACGAACCUUCCUGAUCCCAUCAAGCUUGAGCAGCAUGGCUAUGCCACAAAAGAGGCCGUCUUGAUAUCUUUAAAGAGGGCCGUCAGCCGCUAUUCCAUGCUCCAGGCAGAUGACGGCCACUGGCCUGGGGAGUUCGCUGGCACUUUAUUUCUCUUGCCCAGCUUGAUUGUAGCAUUGCAUGUGACUAGAUCACUGACUACCGUGUUGACAUCUGAACAUCAAAAAGAGAUUCGGCGAUAUCUCUACAAUCACCAGAAUGAAGAUGGGGGCUGGGGACUGCACAUCGAGGGGACAAGCACAAUGUUCUGUUCUGUCAUGAACUAUGUCGCUUUGAGAUUGCUAUGGGAGGGGCUGGAUUCACAUGGAUCCAUGCUGCAAGCUCGGAGUUGGAUCUUGGACCAUGGAGGAGCAACUUUAACACCAUCUUGGGGAAAAUUCUUUCUUUCGGUCCUUGGAGUAUAUGAUUGGUCGGGGAACAAUCCAUUGCCACCAGAACUAUGGAUGGUGCCCUAUUUCUUGCCGAUUCAUCCAGGGCGCAUGUGGUGUCAUUCUCGUUUGGUAUACUUGCCCAUGUCAUACCUAUACGGGAAGAGGUUUGUUGGAACUACAACAUCAAUUGUACAAGACUUGAGGAACGAGCUCUACACCGUACCGUACAAUGAGAUUGACUGGGACAAGGCCCGCAAUGGGUGUGCCAAGGAAGAUCUAUAUUAUUCCCAUUCACCACUGCAAGAUAUCGUAUGGGCUACUCUCAAGAAAAUUGGUGAACCAAUAUUUCUGCACUGGCCUGGCAGCAAUUUGCGGAAGAGAGCUCUAGACAAUGUCAUGAAACAUAUAAAGUACGAGGAUGAAACUACUCAAUACUUAUGCAUUGGUCCUCUAAAUAAGAUGUUGAAUAUGAUUUGUUGCUGGGUAGAAGAUCCAAACUCAGAGGCAUUCAAACUCCAUGUUGAAAGAAUAUAUGAUUUCUUAUGGGUCGCCGAAGAUGGCAUGAAGCUGAAGUCUUACAAUGGCAGCCAACUAUGGGACACGGUUUUGACAGUUCAAGCUAUAUUUGCUACUGGCUUGACAAAAGAGUUCCCCCAUACAAUAAAACUUGCCCAUGACUAUAUAAAACGUUCACAGAUUUCUGCGAAUUUUCCUGGAGAUCAAACCAAGUGGCAUCGUCAUAUAUAUAAAGGUGGAUGGACACAUUCAACUGCCGACCAUGGGUGGCCAGUAUCAGAUUGUACUGCAGAAGCAUUGAAGGCUAUACUGUUGUUGAUUAAGCUUCCUCGUAAAUUGGUUGGCGAGCCUAUGGAAACAAGCCGGCUUGAUGAUGCAGUCAAUAUUCUAUUGUCUUUGAUGAACGACGAUGGUAGUUUUGGUGCAUAUGAGCUAACAAGAUCUUAUGAAUGGCUUGAGUUGCUCAAUCCUUCCGAGAGCUUUGGGGACAUAAUGAUCGAGCAUUCGUACGUUGAGUGUACAUCAUCAGUAAUUCAGGGUCUAGUGUUAUUUAGAGAAAUGUACCCCAAACAUUGUCACAUGGAAGAGAUAGAAAAUUGUAUCCAAAAGGCUGCAGACUACAUUGAGAGCAUCCAAAGGAGUGAUGGAUCAUGGUACGGCUGUUGGGCUAUUUGUUUUACCUAUGGUACAUGGUUUGGGGUGAGAGGAUUGAUUGCUGCAGGCAGAACGUACAAAAAUAGCCAAGCAAUCAGAAAAGCAUGUGAAUUUCUGCUAUCCAAGGAGCUUCUCCCAUUAGGGGGGUGGGGAGAAAGUUACCUCUCCGGUCAAGACAUGGUUUACACCAAUCUUGAAGGCAACCGGGCUCACGCAGUCAACACUAGUUGGGCCAUGUUGGCCCUAAUUGAUGCCGGACAUGUGAUUUUGUUCCUUUGA
rnacentral:rRNA from 1 species